rnacentral:rRNA from 1 species
UACGUAGGGGGCAAGCGUUGUCCGGAAUCAUUGGGCGUAAAGCGCGUGUAGGCGGCCCGAUAAGUCCGCUGUGAAAGUCCAGGGCUCAACCCUGGGAUGCCGGUGGAUACUGUCGGGCUCGAGUCCGGAAGAGGAGUGUGGAAUUCCUGGUGUAGAGGUGAAAUUCGUAGAUAUCAGGAGGAACACCGGUGGCGAAGGCGGCCAUCUGGACGACAACUGACGCUGAGAUGCGAAAGCGUGGGGAGCAAACAGG